rnacentral:rRNA from 1 species
CCCUUAGAUGUUCUGGGCCGCACGCGUGCUACACUGAGUGGAUCAGCGGGUCAGGUUGCGCGAAAGUGUUUCCUAAUCUUGAAAUCCGCUCGUGAUGGGGAUUGACGGUUGCAAUUUUCCGUCAUGAACGAGGAAUACCUUGUAGGCGCGGGUCAUCAUCCCGCGCUGAAUACGUCCCUGCCCUUUGUACACACCGCCCGUCGCUCCUACCGAUUGAGUGGUCCGGUGAGGCUUUGGGAUCUGAGCAAAGAGAGCGUUUCGCUCGUUUUGCCCGGAAAACUCAGUCGAACCUUAUCAUUUAGAGGAAGGAGAAGUCGUAACA